rnacentral:lncRNA from 1 species
GUAUUCUUCAUAUUUAUUGUAUUUUUCUGCAUGCAAACAUACUUAUUACAUGUUUUUUUAACGGGAAAGCAAAAUCCAGCAAGAAGCUGGAAUGUUACAAUACGAAAAGGAAACAACAACUGGUAUAGUGAAGGGUACACCAUGAUACGAAUAAAAUUCAUAAUGAAUAGAACUACUGCUCGAAUAUUCAUUUGAACCACUUUGAUCUUCUACCCAAAAAUCUAAACCCCAAGAGCAGAAUUAAUAUCCCAAAUAUCACAAAUAUCACGACGCAAGUUAUACGAAGCAUUUUGUAAUCAGAUGGCACAAUUGCAAAGGUGCAAUUAGCAUGGUUUACGGUUAAUACAAUCAUUGAAAUCUGCAAUUCGCGCAUCAAAGGGAAAUCAACAGUGAGCAUGUAAAUCAUGUAAACUGACAUGUAGAACCCUAAGGAAUUCGUAAUAACAAAUACAGCAUAUGGUGCUUGAUUUCUGUGGGUACCCAUAAUAGCUUCUCCAGCAUAGUGGUGUUUAAUGGUAGGAGUACCAUCAUCUGCGAGUUGCGGUAAAGUACUAUUGCCUGUGUCCCCCCAAAGUCCUCCAGGAGGACUAAGUGAGGUUUGAUAUGUUGCAGUUGUGAUAAGUAUAACCACCACAAGAAGGGUAUUCCUAAUUUCGAUAGAAGAGCCUCUGAGUUUAUACUCUAUGAACUUGUCUAACCAAUCUCUAUGCGGAGAAUGAGGGUUUUCAUGUUUAGUUUAUGGUAGACUUAGAUUUUGACUCAUGGUUAUAAUUAGGUUCUAAGAAAAGAAAUCUUGCUAUAUUGAUAUAUUUUACAUGCAAACGCUAACAAAGGGUUUAUAUAAGGAAAUUAGCACGCCAGGUGCAUGUAUCGUAGACCUUGUAAUUGAGUCUAUUGAAGUUACAAGGAAGCUUGUAAUCGGGUCCACUGAAGUUGGAAGAAGCCUCAAAUGGUGUCCUCCAUUCAACUGUUGCCAGUAUUGUGCUUGCUAAGUGACGUUGAGCCAUGACGUUUACAUUAAAGAUGUGGACCUCCAUUCAAAUGAUAACAAUAUUUUUGUUCAUGGAGAUGUGACAAUGGAAUGUACGUACGACGUCCUGAUAAAUAAUUAAAUAUAUACAGACAGUCAAACACUACUAGGGUGUGCAAAAAACCUGUAACCAAACAACUGAACCGUUUUGAAAAAACCGAGGGUUUGGUUAGUUUUUUAAUCGGAUGGUAUUAUUGUUUUGUGUUAAUUUUAGUAUUGCAUAUUGUUAUGCUUUAGAAUCUCAGUUUUCAUUGGGCUGCUACUUAAUCCGUGAAUCUUCUCUUUCUUUGUAUCUUCUCAUUAAAAGACAAAACAAUAGUUGCUGCAUAAAUAAAAUGUAAUACUACAUUUGCUAAUCUUCUCUUUCUUUGUAUUUUUCCAUCGAAGACAAAACAACACAAUAGCAGCCGCUGAAAAAUGAAUAGAAAACAUUAAAAAUAUUCCGCUACAACUUGAAGUUUAAUUUAUUUUCUUUCACAUCAAUUUCAAACCAGUAGAAAACUACUUAGGUAUUGAAAAUCUUUAAGCUAUUGAAAUAAAAUAGAAACUUGAAAUAACGUAUGAGUAUCCGAAAUAGGCCCUAUGAAAAGAAAAAAAAAAAAGAUGUACACCCCUUGUAUAAUGACAUUACACAUAGGAUGAGAAAAAAUCGCAUCACAAAUAAAAUUAACCGCAAAAAUUGCAUAAACCGCUACCUAUAACCCACAACCACAAUAAAAACCGAUGAUGAGGUUUCUGUUUUUCAAAAACCGAAAAUUUGCGGUGCGGUGUGGUUAUUAGUUUUCAAAAACCGCAAAAAACCGCACCGCAUAUGUUAUAUACGAUUUUUUUUAUUAAUUAUUUAUAUAUCAAAUAUUAUAAAUAAGACAAGUUUAAUGGAUGAAAGAUGGAAAAAAUACUAGAAUACAAAACUAUUGGUUUUUGUUAUGUUUAACUUUGAAAAAUGGUAAAAUUCGACAAUUUUAAGAUAUUUAUUGUUAAUUACUAUUGAUUUUACGUUUUUAAGAUAUUAGUUGUUUGUGAUUUAUGUUGAUUGUCUUAUACCAUAUGGUUUUUUUUAUCAUUACAAAUAAUAUGUUUGAACUUUUAAAACCCUUAAUAAUCGCACCAAAUCUAUGCGGUUAAUAACUGCAACAAAAAAAAAACAAAAAACAAAACUGCACCGCAAAAAUAACCGCCUAACUGCACCGCUAAAAUAACUGCACCAAGAGAUUUUGAAAAUGGAUUAACCGCAUUUGCAGUUAGUGGUGAGGUUUUGGUUAAUAACCAUACCGCGCUCACCCCUAAUUACACAUGUUUGAUGUUCAUGCCUUGGAAUACCCACGAAAGGAAAUUUGCUUCAAUUGUCUAGCACAUAAGUGGCAAGUUUAAAUGCAUUUAAUUUCUCAUAUAGUUUUUAUGUACAAAAGUAUAAUCCAUGGUAACAUCCAAGAAAAGUUACAGUUACCAGUUACCGACAAUUAUUCUCAUAAUAUUGGAUACAUACAAAAAAUAAAGAUCAAUCAACUAUAUCAACAAUACACAAAAGUACACCGGACUUGAUUUGAAAUGAUCCUAUAUUAUCCGGAGGUACUAUACAUGACAUUAUAGGCUUUAAAUCGCUCCAAGUUAGAUCACCAAUGUCAGACUAGCCCACUUGGUUGGGGUUUUGCCUCUAGAUUUGAGGUAUUGGUUUCUAAAUCAUGUGUUAACAAUUUCUACUCACCAGCUGUUCAAAAGAAGAAAUCUCCAAGAGCAUGUACUACCCAUUCUCGACUCAUCUGAGAUCAUGCAUCCUAAUACAUUUUUUAUUCAGUAUGGUCGCAUGUGGUAUCACUAAAAGCAAAGCAAUUGAAAUGCAAACAAAACCAAAUGUUAAGGAACCUUUGUUAACUUAACGUGACGAAUUUAUGUUUUACACAACAAGAGUUUAAUUUUGUGCACGAAAGGAUAAAGAGGAAGAAUACACACACGCCACUAUUUCAAUGUGUGUUUCUUGAUACAAUUAAAAAGGAAAACGAAGUGGCAUGAAAGGAUUACAUGAAAAACGAAUGCAAGAAUAAAAUAGCGAGUUGUAUAAACCCUAGUAUACAAGGGUUAGUUGAGUCGAACGGUUUGACUUGUUGACUUUAUUUGACUUUGACUUGACUAGCAUUUGACGGUUGUCACAACAUGUCAUCGGUAUAGCGUGGCUUUUGCCGACGACCUAUUUUGUUUGCGUAAGUGUCGUAUCCAUAGGGCUAGAUCCUUGUAGUGUUUACUGGUUUUUCUAAGGAGAUGGGUUCUGAAGUUCUAAAUAUAUACAAGUUUUCAAUGGCAGUUCUGGAUUGAGAAAGUCAUGCUUAUGCUUCCUAGAUUCUCUAUCGUCACUGAAGUUGAAUAAGCGAGGACACCAUAAUGUUGACUCUGAUACAGAUCAAGAACACUUAUGUCAUCUUCUUGAUGGUAAAGCUGAAUUUUCUGAUUUUUGACUUGAUCUGGAUGAGAAACACAAAUAUUUAUGACAAAACUUUCAAAAUGGUACCUACAGUUUCACGAAAUCUGAAGUUUGGUCCCUAAUUUACAAAAACCUUACGGAUGGUCCAUGUGGUUUCAAAACUUUUAAUGUUUAGUCAUUCCGUCUAACUCUGUCAUCUUUCUACCGUUAAGUGAGGGGCAUUUUCGUCAUUUCAAUACCUAGGGACCAUUUAUGAAGGUUUUCUAUUAUUUUAAAUAAAAAUAAAAAAUGAAACCUCUCUCUCUCUCUCUCUAUGUGUGUGUGUGUAAAACCAAGACUCCAUCUCCACGAUUCCAUCGUCGCCUGUCGCCUCUCUCAAUCAUGUUUGCAAAAAAAGUUCCUGAAAUCCUUAAAUAAAUCGAUUUUGCAGAUCAGAUCUUUGAAACUCAAUUAAAAACAAACACAAAAAGCAAAGCAAAGCACUUACAAUUGAAGAAGGUUGUACAGGUGUAUCUUCCAUAGCAUUGGUAGUUCCAUUUAAAUGCUGAGAGACAAUAAGCAUAAUCUGGUGCAACAAAUUGGACAAAAAAGCCCCUUCUUCAGUGACCACUAGCAAUAGCACACCCAUAGAGCUUUAGGAAGCUUCAGAAGGCGGCACUAAAAUCCUAAUGGGGACUACCAACACCUCUGAUCCCCUACUUUGCCUAAGGGCAUUUUCAUGAUUCGUAACUCCACUAUCAGCAGGAGUUGCUGCUGCUGAGCGCUCUCCACCACCAUUUGUUUCCCUUAUCACUAAACUAAAGAAAGUGCAUAUAAGAAGUUAAUGGAAUGGAAAUCCAUUAAAAUCAGAAUGUGAGAAUAGUAAUAGUGUAAUAUACAUGUAUGUAUUUUGAUAUCAAUAUUCUGUGGACGUAAACCAAAACCAAAAUUAUUAGUGCCAGAGGCUGACCCUGUGACUACUACAGUUACAGAUGGAGGUGGAGGUGGAUGUGUGGUUGUUCAAAAACUACUGCCAGGUUGAAAAGGUAGAGGCUACAUCAUUGUUGGAUUUGACCCAGAUGUUGAUACGAAACCAACGAUGUUGCUCUGGACAUAAAACGCCAUCUCCACGGCGUUUCAAGGCGACACUGACAUGGGUUCCUACCAAUCUGGCUGGUCCGGUGACUAAAACAGAGAACCCGUUUCUUAAUUUUGUGAAUGAUUUCAUUGGGGUUGCUAAUCGAUUUCAUGCCUGUUACUCAGGCUCAAUUUCUUGGUGAACUUUUAGGAGAGAGAGAAAGAGAGAGAGAGAGAGAGAGAGAGAGAGAGAGAGAGAGAGACCCUUUUUAUGAUGCUCGUGAUUUGACAUGUUGACGAAAGGAGGAAGAGGAUUGUCUAAGAAUAAAGAUCCACCUUCAGACUACGAUGAGGGAGGAAGAGAAGGCUGGGAUGGGGAUCUGUGACAACCCAAAGUUAUCCAUCGCCGAAACCCAAUUCGUUCGUAAGACCCGUUUUUAGCAAUUCGUUUCCGAUUUCGUAAUUAAAUUAAGUCAUUAAUUUGAAAUUAUUAUUACGACUUAAUGGGUGUCUCAACACAUUUAGAACUCAUUUUAGCACCCCCAUUCUAGUUAUCGCAAAAAUUUAAGAAUCAACCAUAUCGGGUUACGGCAACUUUAUCGGGUUUGACCAAAAGCCACGUCUAACGUCGGUAUCGGGUAGAAUUCCACCGUGUCCAAAUCUUAAACAAUAUUUAAAGAUGUUUAAGCUUCCAUUUGAAGCUUUUUCCCUCUCUCACUACUCUCUCUCUAACCUCUCUCCUCAAACCAAAGAACUAGGUCCAAAACUCCAAUUUAAGGCUCCAAAUCCUUGAGGUAACUUCCCUAACUUGUUAUUCAACCUCCUUAGCCUUCAAAUCCGAAUUUAAACUUUGAUUUUGGACCUCAAACAUGAGUUUAUGGCCAAGGAGCACGCUUGGCCCGUAAACACCUAAUAAGAGGGUUUUUAUGCCUUUAAACCUCUCCAAACCAAUUUUGGGACUUAGAUACGACUAUAUGGCUUACCAUUCUGGACUUAGAACACCCUAAACAUGAAUUUUGAGGAGUAAACAUGAGUUUAUUGCCCAAAAUCAUGCUUGGGCUGUAAACUCAUCAUUCAUGGAGAGUAAACUCAAAACCAAGUGUUUAAAAGCCAUUUAAACACACCAUUAGCCUUGGAAUAAAUCCUAGAACCAACCAAAAUCAAUUUGGGGACCCUAAACAUAAUAAAAACUCUUCAUUUGAGAGUUUACGGCCAUAAAUCCCCAAGAAAUAGUUCCAGGGCCGUAAACUCAUAAAAACAUGUUAAAUGGUGCCCUAAACUCAUUCUAAGGCUUGUAAAAAUAGUUUGAAUCACAGGUGAUUGUCCUAGCUUCACAAAAUAAAUUAAGGAUUGAGCAUGGGGGAGUUUACGGUCGUAAACUCCAUGUUUACUGCCAUAAACUCCAAUAAAUGGUCCUUAAGUGACUUUAAUCCAUUCCAAGGCCCUAGAUUAAAACCUAGCUAAUUUUCCCAAGUGUUAUCAUGCCAUUUAACACCAUAAAACCCCUAAUCAUGAGUUCACGGCCGUUAACUCAUGUGGUUAUGGUCUUAGGGCCGAAAACUCCAUAAGGAGUUUACUCUUGAAGAGUAAACUCAUUUACCAAGUCCCACACGUCCUUAGAUGUCACCCGGGUCGCUCCAAACGCUUUAUUUGAGGUGUUUUCGCAUCCUAGAGUAAAUAGUCAUAUCUAAUUAGUGAAUUAAAGUCUAAUUAGAUACAAAUGUGUAUCAUUUCACAUUACAUAGGAACCUCGCACAUUUUCAAGCCUUGAACUGACGUUUAGCAUCCAAACCGACACAUUCCGCGAUUGGUGAGUUCAUACCCCUACGCCUUUUUCCGUGUUUUUCAAUGUUUUCAGGAGGGAAUACAAGAAAAAUAUUAAAUGUUAUCAAAACAUAAAACUGAUAUAUUUCUAUAAAUAUCUGGCUAACCUUUAGAUAUCUUUACCCCUUAUGUAUUAUGCUGAGCAUAAGGGAUGUUUUAUCGAUUAUAACUACAUGGAUUUCAGUAAAGGAAACAAUCAAAUUAAUCAAAUUAUUAUGGGAAUAAUUUGGGAUCUUUAGUUCUUCUUUAAUGAGUACAGAUUUAUGUAAAGUUAAUAGAUAAACUAUGUCGGAUUCAGUUUAUCUCCGUUUAAUUUAGAAUAUAUUACCAGAUAACUUCAUUGUAUUUAACUAUUUCUAUUGUAUUAUGUUUCGAUACGAUUUGUAUGUCUGAUAACGUCUGAGAACCCCAUGAAUAACAUGAUACUAGCUUGUGAGAUUCGUCAUUGUUAUCAGUAAAUCCUCCCCGGAAGUGUAACCAGAGUCUCCUGGAGGGAGAGCGUGGAAUUUGUGAAUAGAGCUAUUCGGGACUGACAAUCCCACACCUUAACUGCUAGCUACAGUUAGGCGGGCAUGCCUGGGGUGACAAGUUCUGGAAAUCGUCCGACGUCUGACAAACGUCAAGGAGGUCUCGGUGUCGCAUUAGCAUGGUUACCCGACUCACAAUACGUAUUAAUAUAAGUUUAUUCACGGAUUGAAUUUCAUAUCUACUUUCUAUCUAUAGUUCCUAUAUCUAGUACGAAAGAUAGUCCCAUGAUUUUAAAUCUAUAUCUAGUACGGGAUGAUAGUCCCGUGCUUUUCAAUCUAUAUCUAGUAUGGGAUGAUAGUCCCAUGGUUUUCAAUCUAUAUCUAGUACGGGAUGAUAGUCCCAUGGUUUUCAAUCUAUAUCUAUACGGGAUGAUAGUCACAUGGUUUUCAAUCUGUAUCUAUCCUUAGUUUUCAUGUAUCAAGGCUAUCUUAUAUCUGGUACGGGAUAGUAAUCUCAGGAUUUUCAGUAAAUAGUUUUAUGCGUAAAACUAUACAAUGUGGUUCUUAACUAAAACUUUACUUUUAGGAAAAUAUAGGAUUUUCCUGGGAUAACACUGUACAUAACCAUAAUCGUGUAAGAAAACAGUUAACCAAACAUUACUUUUAAGAAAAUAUGGGAUUUUCUUGGAUUCAUAACUUUUUCGGAAAAACAAAGGAAACUUAAACAUUUUCAGAAAAACAAACAUCUUAUGAACUCACCAGCUUUAUGCUGAUUUUCAAACUGCUUGUAUUCUCAGGUCCAUAUUAGACAGGUACCCAGCGAUCCUUUUUAGAGAAGACGGAGCGUACUGAAGAACUCGUCUUAUCUUCUGUUCAUAUAUACCUAUGUAUAACACUUGUGAUACUUUACUUUUGAACAAUUGUAAAUUUCAAUAUGUAAUGUAAUGGUUGUUUACUUUGCUUACUAUGUGCAUUGGAUUUGAUACUCAACGUGGAGUCCGCCCCGAAAAUGUUUCCGCCUUCGGUUUUCGGGGUGCGACAGAUUGGUAUCAGAGACCUUGUUUAUAGUGAACUAGUAUACCAAACCUUACAUGGUAUAAGACUAUAAACACUAAGGGGCCUAAGUGCUCUGAACUAAAAGUAUCCUUCAAAAUAUAAGUAUUUUCAAAAGUAUACAAGUAUACCGAACCAUCGAGAUUCGUAAUCACAAGUAAAACAAAACAUAUGUAAAUGGGUGUUGUGUACUACGGUUAAACCUGGGCAGUUAUGUAGUUGUGUCUAGGAUCAAUAUAGCCUGGCCAACUAUAUUCAUUCGAGACACGGCUAACAUGUUCUUGGGAGUGACUGUGGUAUGCGGCAUGCCUAAAACUUACCCAAUACCCAAACAACGAGCCAUCGCUACAGCGAAUCAUGAAAUACUAUAGGAGUAUUUCUCAAGCCAAACCCAUUAUAGAAAUUCUCAUUGCAGCGUUGAUCCUCGAUCAUUCCCUUAGCGAUAGCUAAUCUGCUUUGUUAACUCUUUCCUGCUUUAUUGCUUAAUAGAAUACCAUAUAUCUGUCUUAAUGAGAUAUCUCUUGUCCCAUAUCUCUUGAUUCAAUUUAGAGGACUUAUGAUCCUCUCUUUCCCGAUCUUAUUAGAUCAAUAUGCCUCCAAGAAAGAGACCCAGCUCAAAAACCAACAACCCUCCGCCACUACCUUCUCCUCAAAUUGAUCUUGUAACGCUUCAGGCAGCUAUUACUGCCGCAGUGACAACCGCCAUGUCACAAAGAAACCCCGGUAGUUUAGGAGGUGGUCCCCAACACCAAAACCAAGAAGAUAACCAGGGACACCGAAAGAAGGGUUCCUAUAAAGAUUUCAUGAGCGCAAAACCCACAUCCUUGAUGGCAUUGGAGGUGUCAUUUUCCUCACCCAAUGGUUCGAGAAGAUCGAAUCCAUCUUUGAAAUUUGUGCAUGCUCAGAAUCUGACAAAUUGAAGUAUGUCGCCUGCACCUUCAUCGAUAAAGCCCCGACUUGGUGGAAUGCCCGAGUCAAAUCCUUAACUUUACCUGUAGCCAACGCCAUGGGUUGGGAAGCCAUGAAGUAACUUCUACUGGCUGAGUACUGCCCUCGGGGCGAAAUGCAGAAGUUAGAACACGAACUCUGGAACCUGAAGAUGAAGGGUUCUGAUAUCGUCGCUUACACUUCCAGGUUCGAUGACUUGGCACUAUUCUACCCGGGAAUGGUUACCCCAGAGAGUAAGAAGAUAGAGAGAUUCAUCUGGGGGUUGACCCAGCCAACAAAAGGAAACCUCUUAGUUGCGAGGCCGAAUACAUAUGACAGCUCCAAAUGCUUAGCACGAAUCUUAAUCGACCAUAGUGAUGACCUUGAGGAAACAACUACUACUCCUGAGCCGACGGAGAGGAGUGGUGAGAAAAGGAAAAUUGGAAAGAAGAAGGAAUGUCAGACAUUGCAGGAGUCUUCAAAGAGGCAUCAACUUGUGGCAGUUCACGCUGCUACUACCCCUGCAACUAUUUCUGUUGUUGGAUCCUCAGCUCGAAAACCUACCAGUAGGUAUGCGGGAACCCUCCCUAGUUGUGACAAGUGCAAAUAUCAUCACCUCACUUCCAGCCCAGGUAUAGAGAUGUUUUGCAACAGUUGUGGCAUAAAGGGUCACAUGGAGAAAAACUGUAAGACACCAACUCAUUCAACCAAUCAAGCUUCCGGAGCGGGCAUUGGUCAAGCCUGCUAUGGUUGCGGAGAAGUUGGGCAUCUCAAGCGAAACUGCCCUAAGGCAGUAACAUCUGGCAACACCGGAAGAGUCCUAGCGAUAGGACGAGAGGAAAGAACCACCGAUCCCACCGUUGCCAUAGGUAUAAUUCCCCUCGAUGAAUCUUAUGCCUGUGAUUCUUUUCGAUUCUAAUGCUAAAAGAAAUUUGCUAACCAUUCAUUCAAACAUCUUUCUAAACUUUGUCCUUCGUUAGUAAUCAAAAAUGUGUACCGUCGAGAUGGUUAACAAGUAAGAAGGAGAACGCUAACGUCAUAUCCAUAGAUUGUAUCCUCAAUCCGGACAAUUAUUCUUUUCCAUUCGAUCUAAUGGCAAACUUUUCAUGAAAUGCUUUGAUACCAUCUUUGGCAUGUAAUGACCGAGCCUCAUUGAUGUUGUUAUUCUUGGUUUCGAGAAAGCCAUCCAUCUUAAAUUUUCCCCGAAACAACUCUCAUGAUCUUCGUGCAUCAAAUCUUAAAAAGUUUUCCCAUGUAUUUCUCGUCCGUGUGAUCAACGAGAAACUAGAAGUCUACAACUCUUCCCCCGAUGCCUUUUUCGAAGAAUUCCUGAGAAUUCUUCCUGAACGUGUAAUCAAGUCUCGCAUCGACCUAAUCCCUGGAAUUACCUCAUAGCCAAAAACCUCAGUGAGAAUGAUGUGUCCAAGACAACAACCAGGACUUGAUAUGAUCACUACGAGUUAGUAGUGGUACCCUUUGGUCAAAUCAUUUUCCUUAGUCAUGUAGAUAAGCAAAGCAGUCAUACCCGUGGACCUUUCCAAAAACUAUGGCGAUAGAGAUUUAGUCAGCACUGGAGAUACCCAUAGAAAACCCGUCAAUCCAUGGGUCCCGCUGGCUAAUAUCGCAGACCCACCUAGAAAUUUCCUUUAGAAUCGUUAAACCUUUAGCUAUUCUACCAUAUGAAGAUGUACCCUCUUGUUGGAAGUCUUACUCUGGAGAGACAUAGUACGCCUUGAGAAGUGCGGAAAACUUAACUCGUGGUACAUUAGAACCUUCGAGAUCCUCGUUAGGAAUCGAUUCCGUAGCCCUCUCCGAGCUAUCUUCAGAACUCAGCAGCAACCAUCUGGUAUUCCAUAUCUUUGUUCAUAAGAAGUGCCGACUCGACGAAACCCUAGUAAUCCCUUUGAUGAGAUCGAAAUCAACGGAAACCCAAACCUCCAUAGAAGAAUCAAUUGAGAUCAUGGAUUGAGAGGUUGAACGUACGAAGCAAAGCCGCAUCCCGGUAGUGAGGGUUCGCUGGAAUGUCAAGCGGAGACCCGAUUCCACUUAGGAGCGUGAAGACCCGAUGCAGUAGAUUCAUUCUCGUCAUUCUUUUCACUUCAUGAUCUGUAUCCAAAUCUUUGAAUUUCGGGACGAAAUUCCCUCUAACGGGGGGAUAAUGUGACAACCCGAAGUUAUCCAUCGCCGAAACCCAAUUCUUUCGUAAGACCCGUUUUUAGCAAUUCGUUUCCGAUUUCGUAAUUAAAUUAAGUCAUUAAUUUGAAAUUAUUAUUACGAAUUAAUGGGUGUCUCAACACAUUUAGAACUCAUUUUAGCACCCCAUUCUAGUUAUCAGAAAAAUUUUAGAAUUAACCAUAUCGGGUUACGGCAACUUUAUCGGGUUUGACCAAAAGCCACGUCUAAUGUCGAUAUCGGGUAGAAUUCCACCGUGUCCAAAUCUUAGACACUAUUUAAAGAUGUUUAAGCUUCCAUUUGAAGCUUUUUCCCUCUCUCACUACUCCCUCUCUAACCUCUCUCCUCAAACCAAAGAACUAGGUCCAAAACUCAAAUUUAAGGCUCCAAAUCCUUGAGGUAACUUCCCUAACUUGUUAUUCAACCUCCUUAGCCUUCAAAUCCGAAUUUAAACUUUGAUUUUGGACCUCAAACAUGAGUUUAUGGCCAAGGGGCAUGCUUGGGCUGUAAACACCUAAUAAGAGGGUUCUUAUGCCUUUAAACCCCUCCAAACCAAUUUUGGGACUUAGAUACGACUAUAUGGCUUACCAUUCUGGACUUAGAACACCCUAAACAUGAAUUUUGAGGAGCAAACAUGAUUUUACUGCCCAAGAUCAUGCUUGGGCUGUAAACUCAUCAUUCAUGGAGAGUAAACUCAAAACCAAGUGUUUAAAAGCCAUUUAAACACACCAUUAGCCUUGGAAUAAAUCCUAGAACCAACCAAAAUCAAUUUGGGGACCUUAAACAUAAUAAAAACUCUUCAUUUUAGAGUUUAGAGCCAUAACUCCGCAAGAAAUAGUUCCAGGGCCGUAAACUCAUAAAAACAUGUUAAAUGGUGCCCUAAACUCAUUCUAAGGCUUGUAAAAAUAGUUUGAAUCACAUGUGAUUGUCCUAGCUUCACCAAAUAAAUUAAGUAUUGAGCAUGGGGGAGUUUACUGCCGUAAACUCCAUGUUUACUGCCAUAAACUCCAAUGAGUUUAAUCCAUUCCAAGGCCCUAGAUUAAAACCUAGCUAAUUUUCUUAAGUGUUAUCAUGCCAUUUAACACCAUAAAACCCCUAAUCAUGACUUCACGGCCGUAAACUCUUGUGGUUAUGGUCUUAGGGCUAAAAACUCCAUAAGGAGUUUACUCUUGAAGAGUAAACUCAUUUCCCAAGUCCUACACAUCCUUAGAUGUCACCCAGGUCGCUCCAAACGCUUGAUUUGAGGUGUUUUCGCAUCCUAGAGUAAAUAAUCAUAUCUAAUUAGUGAAUUAAAGUCUAAUUAGAUAAAAAUGUGUAUCAUUUCACAUUAUAUAGGAACCUCGCGCGUUUUUAAGCCUUAAAAUGACGUUUAGCAUCCAAACCGACACAUUCCGCGAUUGGUGAGUUCAUACCCCUACGCCUUUUUCCAUGUUUUUCAAUGUUUUCAGGGGGGAAUACAAGAAAAAUAUUAAAUGUUAUCAAAACAUAAAACUGAUAUAUUUCUAUAAAUAUCUGGCUAACCUUUAGAUAUCUUUACCCCUUAUGUAUUAUGUUGAGCAUAAGGGAUGUUUUAUCGAUUAUAACUACAUGGAUUUCAGUAAAGGAAACAAUCAAAUUAAUCAAAUUAUUAUGGGAAUAAUUUGGGAUCUUUAGUUCUUGUUUAAUGAGUACAGAUUUAUGUAAAGUUAAUAGAUAAACUAUGUCGGAUUCAGUUUAUCUCCGUUUAAUUUAGAAUAUAUUGCCAGAUAACUUCAUUGUAUUUAACUAUUUCUAUUGUAUUAUGUUUCGAUACGAUUUGUAUGUCUGAUAACGUCUGAGAACCCCGUGAAUAACAUGAUACUAGCUUGUUAGAUUCGUCAUUGUUAUCAGUAAAUCCUCCCCGGAAGUGUAACCAGAGUCUCCUGGAGGGAGAGCGUGGAAUUUGUGAAUAGAACUAUUCGGGACUGACAAUCCCACACCUUAACUACUAGCUACAGUUAGGCGGGCAUGCCUGGGGUGACAAGUUCUAGAAAUCGUCCGACGUCUGACAAACGUCAAGGAGGUCUCGGUGUCGCAUUAGCAUGGUUACCCGACUCACAAUACGUAUUAAUAUAAGUUUAUUCACGGAUUGAAUUUCAUAUUUACUUUCUAUCUAUAGUUCCUAUAUCUAGUACGGAUGAUAGUCCCAUGAUUUUAAAUCUAUAUCUAGUACGGGAUGAUAGUCCCGUGCUUUUCAAUCUAUAUCUAGUAUGGGAUGAUAAUCCCAUGGUUUUCAAUCUAUAUCUAGUACGGGAUGAUAGUCCCAUGGUUUUCAAUCUAUAUCUAUACGGGAUGAUAGUCACAUGGUUUUCAAUCUUUAUCUAUCCUUAGUUUUCAUGUAUCAAGGCUAUCUUAUAUCUGGUACGGGAUAGUAAUCUCAUGAUUUUCAGUAAAUAGUUUUAUGCGUAAAACUAUACAAUGUGGUUCUUAACUAAAACUUUACUUUUAGGAAAAUAUAGGAUUUUCCUGGGAUAACACUGUACAUAACCAGAAUCGUGUAAGAAAACAGUUAACCAAACAUUACUUUUAAGAAAAUAUGGGAUUUUCUUGGAUUCAUAACUUUUUCGGAAAAACAAAGGAAACUUAAACAUUUUCAGAAAAACAAACAUCUUAUGAACUCACCAGCUUUAUGCUGAUUUUCAAACUGCUUGUAUUCUCAGGUCCAUAUUAGACAGGUACCCAGCGAUCCUUUUUGGAGAAGACGGAUCGUACUGAAGAUCUCGUCUUAUCUUUUGUUCAUAUAUACCUAUGUAUAACACUUGUGAUACUUUACUUUUGAACAAUUGUAAAUUUCAAUAUGUAAUGUAAUGGUUGAUUACUUUGCUUACUAUGUGCAUUGGAUUUGAUACUCAAUGUGGAGUCCGCCUCAGAAAUGUUUCCGCCUGCGGUUUUUGGGGUGUGACAGGAUCAGAGUGUUUACUAGAGGAACCAAUGGUAGAAUUUUUUGGUGACAAACGGCGAGGAAUGAUGCAAUGGUGGGGGAAACGAAGGAUGAUCUGAUUCAUGAGAGAGAGAGAGAUAGAGAGAGAGAGAGAGAGAGAGAGGUGGGGCCCUUUAACAUUAAAUAGUUAUAUUUAUUUUUCUUUUUUUUAAAUUAAGGCAAAACUUCAUAAAUGGUCCCUGUGGUUGUGAAAUGACAAAAAUGCCCUUCACUUAACGGCUAAAUGUUAACGGAUUUAGCGAAAAGGACCAUUUGUUAAAAGUUUUGAAACCACCGGGACCAUCUGUGAGGUUUUUAUAAAUUAGAGACUAAACUUCAGAUUUUCGGAAACCACAGAGACCAUUUGAAGUUUUGUCAAUAUUUAUUGAUAACGGGACUCUAAGUUUGUUUCUUAAAAAUUAGUUAAAUUAAUAAAGAAGGAAAAUAUAUGAUGAAAGAGAAUAUUUUUUUAAAGAAGGAUUCUUCAUUUAUUGUAUUUUUCUGCAUGCAAACAUAGUUAUUACAUGUUUGUUUAACGAGAAAGCAAAAUCCAGCAACAAGCUGGAAUGUUACAAAAGGAAAAGGAAACAACAGUUGGUAUACCAAUUUGAAGGCUACACCAUGAUACGAUAAAAUUCAUAAUAAUGAAUAGAACUACUGCUCGAAUAUUCAUUUGAACCACUUUAAUCUUCUACCCAAAAAUCUAAACCCUACGAGCAUAAUUAAUGUCCCGAAUAUCACAAAUAUCACGAUGCAAGUUAUACGAAGCAUUUUGUAAUCAGAUGGCACAAUUGCAAAGGUGCAAUUAGCAUGGUUUAUGGUUAAUACAAUCAUUGAAAUCUGCAAUUCGUGUAUCAAAGGGAAAUCAACGGUGAGCAUGUAAAUCAUGUAAACUGACAUGUAGAACCCUAAAUUCGUAAUAAAAAAUACAACAUAUGGUGCUUGAUAUCUAUGAGUACCCAUAAUAGCUUCUCCAGCAUAGUGGUGUUUAAUGAUAGGAGUACCAUCAUCUGCGAGUUGCGGUAAAGUACUAUUGCCUGUGUCCUGCCAAAGUCCUCCAGGAGGACUAAGCGAGGUUUGAUAUGUUGCAGUCGUGAUGAGUAUAAUGACUACAAGAAGGGUACUCCUGAUUUCGAUAGAAGUGCCUUUGAGUUUAUACUGUAUGAACUUGUCUAACCAAUCUCUAUGCGGAGAAUGAGGGUUUUCAUGUUUAGUUUCUGGUAGACUUAGAUUUUGACUCAUAGUUAUAAUUAAGUUAUGAGAAAAGAAAUCUUGCUAUAUUGAUAUAUUUUACAUGCAAACGCUAACAAAGAGUUUAUAUAAGUAAAUUGGGACGCCAGGUGCAUGUAUGUAAACCUUGUAAUUUAGUCAACUGAAGUUGUAAGGAAGCAUGUAAUCGGGUCCACAGAAGUUAGAACCUACGAAGCCUUAAAUGGUGUCCUCCAUUAAUUACGUGGUAUUUUGCUUGCUAGGUUACGAUGUGCUAUGAUGUUUACUAUAAGACUUUAUUGAAUUAACCUCAAAGGGUAUGAGCGAGUUUACAUGUAUAUAAAAUACAAGAUAACAAACAAAGGCUAAUUUCUAGGAAUACAACUAGAUAACUAUAUUAUCUAGACUUAUCUUAUUUAUCAAUAAUACUCCCCCUCAAGCGAAGAGGUGGUAAACCAACAUGCAACUUGGAACGAAAUUGCUCAAAUAGUGGAUGUGGAAGACUCUUGGUGAAUAUAUCAGCCAAUUGUAACGAAGUGGGCACAAAACGCGUGUGUAAUCUACUAGAAGCAACUAACUCAUGAACGAAGUGAUAGUCUAUGUGUAUAUGCAUCGCUCUUUUGUGAGAUAUAGGAUUCUGGGUAAGAAAAAGAGCACUCUUGUUGUCACAUAAGAGAGUUGGACGAUCUAGUGGCAAAGCAUGAAGUUCACGAAGAAGAUGAGUAAUCCAAAUAAUUUCAGCAGCAGUAUUUGCCAUUGCUCGAUAUUCAGAUUCACAACUAGAUCGAGAGAUGGUUGGUUGCUUUUUAGCGCUCCAAGAAACAAGAUUUCCACCUAAAAAUAUGGAGUAACCAUAUGUUGAACGUCGAGUCUCAAUACACCGGGCCCAAUCCGCAUCAGAAUAACCAAGAAGCAAAGAGGACUUGGGGUAAGUAAAGUGAAGACCAUAGGAUAAAGUGCCUUUUACAUAUCUUAAGAUUCUUUUGACUAUUUGAAAAUGGUCAGUCGUAGGAGCAUGUAGAAAUUGGUUGACUUGAUUAACUGCGUACGAUAAGUUAGGACGGGUAAUAGUUAAGUAUUAUAAAGCACCAACCAGUGAUCGAUAUAAAGUGGGAUCCGAACAUGGCGAACCAGAAGUGACAAGAUAAUCUGAGGUUGAUAAAGGAGUUGAAGCAGGUUUUGAGUCAAGCAGACCGGCCCGAGUGAGAAUAUCAUGUGCAUACUUGGCUUGAGUGAGAAAUAAACCAUUUUCCAUAUACGAUACUUCAAGACCCAAGAAGUAAUUUAACUGGCCAAGAUCCUUGAUAGCAAAAUCGGAGUGAAGUCGAGUAAUAAACUUUUUAAUGAAGAGUGGAGAAUUUCCUGUUACGAUAAUGUCAUCGUCAUAAACUAACAGGUAUAGGAUUUGUGACUCCUGUUUGAAGACAAAUAGAGAUGUAUCAGCUCGACUGCAAACAAAACCGAGAGUGAGAAGAAAUGAACUGAGGCGUUGAGACCAAGAACGUGGAGACUGUUUAAGGCCAUAUAGGGCCUUCUUUCAACGAUAAACAUGAUUAGGAUAUCUUUGGUCAACAAAACCCGGGGGUUGUUCCAUAAAUACCCUGUCAGUAAGAAUUCCAUUUAGAAAAGCAUUAUUGACAUCAAGUUGAUGAAGAGGCCAUUUAUGCAUGACAGACAAAGAUAAGACAAUACGAAUAGUGGCGGCUUUGACAACAGGACUAAAAGUACGAGUGUAGUCAAGACCCGAAAUUUGACUGAACCCUUGAGCGACCAAUCGGGCCUUUAGUCGUUGGAUGGUACCAUCUGAAUUGAAUUUGGUAUGAUAGACCCAUUUUGAACCCACUAUAUUUGAACAAUGUGGACGAGGGACAAGAUCCCAAGUGUUGUUUGAGCGAAGAGCAUUCAUUUCUUCUUUCAUGGCAUAUAGUCAUUGAGGAUGUUUAGCUGCAGAUUUGAAACCACGAGGCUCUUUAGUAACAAAAAGAGCAUGAAGAAGCGGAGCAUGUUCAACAUAUGCAAGGUCUACACGGUGACGGGGUUUAAAGAUUCCUGCACGAGAUCGAGUCACCAUAGGAUGAGAAGAAGAAGAUGGCACUGUUGGACCUGGUGCAGGUGACGAUGAAAAAGUUGUUGUCGUGGUGAUAGGAGAAUCUGACGAGUCGGUAGGUGAUGGCGGGGAGGUUGUCGACACAUCAGAAGUGGUACCGCUGGAUACAGAAGUUAAUUCAGCACCUAAUGAGAAUGUCGCAGGCUGUUGAUCAUCUGUGAAACGAUGCUCAUGCGGACAAAGCGAGCAGAAUGGAGCUGGUUCUGAGUUGCGGUGUUGAGGAGCAGGCAUGGGGGACAACUGUGGAGACGGACAUGGUUCUUGGAAGUCUGUGAACAAUAAUUUGGCUUGAUCAAUAGGCGGUAAAACACCACGGAAAGGAAACGUGUUUUCAUCAAAGAUUGCAUGUCGGGUGGUGUAAAUGUGAUUUGAAGUAGGAUCCAAGUAGCGAUAACCCUUAUAGUUGGAGUUGUAUCCAAUAAAAAUGAAAGAAGCACUGCGAGGGGCCAAUUUGUGUGUCGAAUAAUUGCGUAAGUAUGGAAAAAUCCAACAUCCAAAAACCCGAAAAACAUCAUAGUUUGGUGGUGAGUGAAACAACAUCUCAAAUGGAGUCUUUUGAUCAAGAAUCUUUGAUGGAAGACGAUUGAUAAUAUAAGUUUCGGAGCUGAAAGCGUCAACCCAAAAAGAAGCUGGUACAUUUGCAUUAAAGAUCAUUGCGAGACCGGUUUCGGUAAUAUGGCGAUGUUUCCGUUCAGCUCGCCCAUUUUGUUGCGGAGUAUGAGGGCAAGACAAACGAUGAUGGGUAUCGUCUUCCAUGAGAAGAGCACGAACUUGGUUGUUUGUGAAUUCGGUUCCUCCGUCACUCUGAAAAGCUUUAAUUUUGCAAGAACAUUGUGUUUGUACGAACGCAAGAAAGGCUUUAAAUAUAUUAAAAAAAUCAGAUUUCAAUUUUAAUAGAUAAAACCAUGUGAAUCGAGAGAAGUCAUCCACGAAGAUGCAAUAGUAUAAGUAUCCUUCUAUUGAAGGAAUAGGUGCUGGCCCCCAUAAGUCACAAUGGAAAAAAUCAAGCACAUGCAAAGAACGUUUUCAUUUAAUGUAAAUGAUAACUGUUUGCUUUUGGAAAACUGACAUGAAGAACAUAUACUAGGUUUAGGCAAAAGUGAAGUAAAUGACAAACAACCCGAUUUAUUCAAUAAAGAAAUUGUAUCAAAAGCAGCAUGAACUAAUCUAGUGUGCCAUAAUUCAUAAGAAGCACAUAAUUUGGAAGUUCUUAAGUUUGUAAGAAAAACUUCCUGGCCAUUCUUGAGAACAUAGAGACCAUUUUCACAUCUACCCUCUGCCAAUAUUUCCUCUGUUGCGCGGUUCUGAAUGGCAAAAAAAGGAUUAGAAAAUAACACAUCCACCAGAGAAUCCUUGGUCAAUUUACUAAUGGAAAGGAGAUUCUUAGUGAAAUUAGGAACCACAAUAACAUCUGAUAGUUUAAGAUCUUUGGAAAUUGAAGAGUUACCAAUAUGAGAGAUGGAAGAAGUAUUACCAUUUCCAAAAACAACGUGAUCAGAUCCUGCAUAAGUUGAAGCCGAAUCAAGAGUUGCGAGAGAUGAUGCCAUAUGGGUGGAGGCACCAGAAUAAACGAACCAAUCUGGGGAGUUAUUUGUAACAUGACACUGGGCUUGGAAGGCUUGGGCUAAAUUCACUUUUUAAGAAGUGCCCUGACUAGCGAAUGAAGCCAAAUCGGGACAAGAACUCACAUAGUGACCAUUUGUGCGACAUAGCUAGCAGUGUGGGGGGCGCUAACCACGACCGCGACCACCGGUGUUUGAAAAACGACCACGACCUCUACUAGAGUUGUUACCACUACGAGAAGUAGUAGCUGAAGAGGGCUGACGAUUGGCAGUGAAAGCAACGACUGGUGGAGUGGGAUCAUGAAUUGCAGCAAGAAAUAACUCAUGUCCUUCAGCUUGAGAGACCAGAUCACGGAAAGAAGGACGAGGCUUAAUGGCACGAUAAGUAGUAGAAAAAGUCUCAAAUGAAGAACCAAGUCCACAAAGAAACCAGUGAAUCUUAUCAAGAUCAUCAACGGGGUGACCAAUUGCAGCAAGUUGGUCAUAGAUUGCUUUGAAUUUGGAACCAAAUUCGGUAACAGUGGAGGAACCCUUUUUAAGUUGUCGAAGGGUAUCCUUUAGGGUCUGUAUACGCUCCUAGGAAUCAUGGCUAUAUGCUACUUCAAGAGAUCGCCAAAUAUCAAAGGCAGUCUUGGAGCCGAGAGAUUCAGCCAUAGCAGCCUCGCUGAGAGAGGCCUGGAUAAUAAGGUAAGCGCGUUGAUCUGCUUCCAACCAGGUUUCAUAGUCAGGAUUAGGAGAAGAAGUAUUUGCAACAACUUUUGUCUUGGGUGGAGGAAGAAUCGUGCCAUCUAUAACUCUAUGUGGCCGGACAACUUCUGAUAUGUAAGAAGGGGAAGCAUUUGAUUGCUCCAGAGUAAGUAGUUUGUAGGAGAAAGUUUGACAGUAAUCAUAUGAAGAAUGGUGUUGAAAGGGAGAGAAGAUGGGGAUGAAGAAGAGGAGUCGUCGAUCGUCAUUGCAGAGAGGAAAUGUCUUGACCUAAUCUGAUACCAUAUAAGACUUUAUUGAAUUAACCUCAAAGGGUAUGAACGAGUUUACAUGUAUAUAAAAUACAAGAUAACAAACAAAGGCUAAUUUCUAUGAAUACAACUUCAAUACAGCUAGAUAACUAUAUUAUCUAGACUUAUCUUUUUUAUCACUAAUAUUUACAUUCCAAUGUGGUCCUCAUGCAAAUAAUAUCAAUACUUUUGUUCAUGGAGAUAUGCAGACGUAACACCUUCCUAGGCCUUGAUGUAUUGUCGUUUUGUAUUAUUUUUUAAUUGGCUGGUAUUGUUGUUUUGUCUUCAUUUUAGUAUUACAUUUUGUGAUGAUUUAAAUUUCAGUUUUGAUUGGGUUGCUACUGAAUCCAUGAAUCUGCUCUUUCUUUGUAUCUUCUCAUUAAAAGACAAAACACAAGUAGCUGCGUAACUCAAAUAUAUAAUAAUACAUCUGAUAAUUCUAUUUCUUUGUAUUUUGCAAUCGAAGACAAAACAACAAUAGCAGCCCAAUGAAAAAUGAGGACUAAACAUUAAUACUCCACUACAACUUCAAGUUUAAUAUAUUUUCUUUCACAUGAAGUUCAAAUUAAUCUAGUGGAAAAGUUAUGCAUUAAAAAUCUUAACCAAUUGAAAAAAGAUAGAAAUAUGUGAGUAUCCCGCAUAGGUCAUUUGAAAAAAGAAAUAGAGAUGGGUACCAUUCAAGACCCACGAAGGGAAAUUUGUGCCAAUUCAAAAGCAUAUAAGUACGUAGCAAGUUUAAAUGCAUUUCACUGCUCAUAUAGUUUUGAUAUACACAAGUAUAAUCCAAGGUUCAUAACCCAUAGUUUGUGUAUUCUUUAGACGUUGUAGUAGUGAAACAAUAUACUUAAUACAAGUAAAUAGUAAGGUUCAUAACCCAUAGUCAGACAAAAAGAGCCAAAUAUCUUUUACAUACAUGAGAAGUUCAACUAUUGAAUCGAUACUAUAUAUAAACCACUUACAAUUCAGACCCUUUCUUGGCUUGUCUCAGGUAAUACAUUUCUACCCUUCUUCAAAUAAUUUCUAAGCAGCAUGAUGAUACAUGGUAUCGCAAAUGGGAGAGCAAUCGAAAUGCCAAUAAAACCAAACGUUAUGUAAUUAGUUGGAGCAAUCUCGUUCAUACAAGUAGCGUAAGUUACACUAAUUGCAAACAUCGAAAUCCGCAAUUCCAACUGCAAAGGGAAAGCUGCAGUGAGUACGUAAAUCAUGUGAACUGAAGUGUAGAACCCCACUGAAUUCGCAAACAAAAAUAUACUAUAUGCUAUCGGAUUUUUAGUACCCAUAAUAGCUUUUCCAGCAAUGUGAGAUUUAGUCGAAAUCGUAUGAUUUGUGGAUGGAAUAGAAUCGUCUUGCCAAGCACCUCCAGGAGGACUAAGUGCGGGUUGAUACGUUGCAGUGGUGAUAAGUAUAACAAUCACGAGAAGCGUAUUUCUUACCAUGUUAGGAGAGUCUUUUAGAUUAUUGUACUUAAAGUAGUCCGAAAGAUUCGAUCUAGGAUUUUCAUGUCUUGUGUCAGUAUGAUUUGAUCUUUCUAUAUGAGUAUAUGUUGGAGACUGCAGGUUUUCAGACUUUAAACCUCCGGAUUUGAUGAGAAUGUCCUCAAUUUCUCGAUCACCAGCUUCACUUUGAAACAUUAAUAGCAUAUCAAGAGGAGUUAAACCUCUUUUGUUUAAGGAAUUCAACUCAAUCUUCCCUUUGAUGGUAGCUUGUUCGUUUAGUAGAAAGUCAACCACCUAUUAAAAAUAUAAACUUUGAUCAUGAAAUUCGUAAAGACUUGAGGUACAAAAGACAAAAGUGUACUUACUUCAUAUUGCUUCAUUGAAACGCCAAGGUGCAAGAUUGUAUUCCCCUGAAUGUCCUUAGAAUUCAGAAGAUCUUCCUUGUUGACUUUCUUCAGAUGUUGAAUCAAAACUUUGAAAGCUUCGAAUUUGUUGUUCUUCACUGCGAGAUGGAGGGGUGUCUCAAGUCGCGCAGUCGUGAAGUCCACAGAAUCCGAGCUCGCUAAAAGCAACUCUUUUACAACUUCAACUUUACCUUUGACCACAGCGAAAUGGAGAGGAAUUUUUCUGUCUUUUCCUUUGAUCAAACACAAACCAAUGUCAACUUUGAGAAGCUCCUUAACAAUUUCGGUAUGCCCACAAGCAGCUGCUAUGUGCAAAGGUGUAAAACCAUCUUGGUUAAGCUCCCUGGAAAAUUCCUGCUUUAGUUUGAUGAGUGUCGAUGCGAAGUUGACAUGUCCAGCGAAACAAGCUAUGUGUAAUGGAGUUUCGCUACCCUCCAUUGCUACGACAUGAAGCAUAGAUGGGUUUUUGUCGAUUUCUUUAAGCAGUUCGUCGACAUCCCCAUUCCAUGCUGCCUGAAUCAGGCUUCGAUUCAUUGGUCUACGAAGAGAAAUCUUGUUGUGUUAGUUUUUUAUGUAUGCUCACGAAGUGUUUCUAAUAUUAAGCAACGGGUUUGACAGGUGUAGGUAGAGCUUGUAGUUGAGUCAAUGAGAUUAGGUUUUACUUAAAGGAUUAAGAUAUUAAAGUCAACUGAUUAGCUCAUGAUCAGUUGCAUUCAAAUGUUAUCCACCUUAAAGAAUAGCCAAAAUUUUCUGUCUGAUGUAAUUGAAUAUUGCAGCCUUAUAAUUUUUGACAAUUGUUUAAGGAAAACUUGAUGUCGAUCAGACACUAGAAUAACAAUAACUUUUCUCAUGACAUUUAAAAAAUAAAACUUGAUGUUGUGUAACAAAAAAAAGUUGUUACAUUUGACUAUCAAUUUUCAAUUAAAUUCAGAACUACAAUUUUUUUUGCCAAUUGAAUAAAUUGUAAUUCACAAAUAAUGGAUAAAAGUUCAAUUGCCUAAUUAUUAAAUUCUAAGAACAAAUAAAUAACUAUAGUGGUUGAUUAAUUCCGUCCACAUAACCUAAAUCAAACUUAGGUCGAGUUUAAUUAGGUGCUUGUAUUAUUAGUUUCAGUAGCAAUUUUUGCAUCGUUUACCAAGAAAUUUUGCUAACAAUUCUGUUUAAAUUCGGAAUGUAAAAAAGUCUUGUGACACCGAUCUCGUGUGGGGGUAUUUGAUUAAAAAUACAAGGACAGGGUUAACCCCUGUUUUAAUAUUGUGGGUGGGGAUGGGGGUACACAGUCCCGUCUCGAAACCCACAUAGAAGACCCCUUAAUAUAUUAUUUAUAUUAAUUAUAUAAAUAUAAUAAGUAAUAGCAUGAUUUUGAGCUACCAACAUCCAAUAAAAAUCAUGUUUUAAAUUGUUAAUAUAACGUUUUUGAGAUCUCAUACCAUUUCUAUUUUUAACAAUUAAAACUAUGCUAUAAUUAAUUAUUUUUUACGUAAAGAAUAGCUUUUUAGCCUAAAAACAAUUCCUUUUAGUGUCUUUUCCCGUUUUUCCCAUUGAGACCCCUAGUCUAUAUCAAACUCAUAUAGAACAAGUUUUUUAUUAUAACCAAUCAAAUCUAAUUUUAAUCACCGUGGUAGAGAAAAAAAGUAUAAUCAAAAUUAGUCUGAAGGAAUCCAUAAGUAUCUAUCCUUUAUAUAGGACAUCUUGUUUUAUUUUUGUCCCUAUAUUUUUCGUUCUAGUGUAUUUAUACACAUGGAUGUUUUAUUAUUGAAAUAAGAAAGUUUGAUAUUUAUUAUGAUAUAAGAGUGGGUUAUUAACCCUAGACUACAAACCCAACAACAAUGAAAAAAUCCAGAAAAGACAAUGCCACCAAAGAUAGCUCGAUCAGCCAACAGAUCGAUGCCAACUCCAUCUAUUAAAUACAUGCAUGUAACUAUCNNNNNNNNNNNNNNNNNNNNNNNNNNNNNNNNNNNNCCCCCCCCGCGAAACAACAACUAUGACAACUGGAGAGAAGAGAUGUGAAACUUCCUUUUCACCAAAAACAAAAUUAGUUUCUUAAUUGGAUGUUGGAGAUGUCUUAGAAAUGGAUGCCAAAUCUGAUGAUUUGGAAAAGGUGGGACGUCGUGCUCAAACGAUGGCUAACCACCACUAUGGAGAAAGAAAUCAGAAAUAAUGUCAAAUACGUCAAGACUGUUAGAGAAAUAUAUGAAGACCAUUAAUAAUGCUGCAGUAAUAAAGAGAGUGCCUACAGGCAUAUGAGCUAAAGCAAACCCUCACAGUAACAUGAUAAGACAAAGCUUCUGCCUUGACGUAUUACACUAAAAUAUGUGUAACGUCCCAAAAAUAAGACCUAAAAUUUUUUCAAUUUUAAAUUAAUAAAACAGUAAACCAUAUCAUUAUCAUAAAACCAAAGUAAUCUAAUUUUAUCAAUACAUCAUCGUUAUCAAAGUAAAUCACAAAAUGCGCAAUUGAAUGGUGUGUGUUCUGCAAUCAUCCCAAGCUCUUCCAUUUUAAACCAAAAGUACUUGAAACAUAAACUGAAAACCAUAAGCACAAAGCUUAGUGAGUACCUCAAAAUACCACAUACCAUAUAUACAUAAAUAAACACAUAAUGGGCCCUGCCCGUCAUCAGGCCCUGUCCGGGAUCCAACCCCGCUUGGUAUACAGAUCUAUAAAUCAACGGACCCCGCCCAAUGAGUAUAACGGGCCCCACCCAAACUCGCAUAACAGGCCCCGCCCACUGAGUAUAAUGUGUCUCUCUCACACACAAAACACAUAAGCAUAACAAAAUAAUAACAUACAUAAUAACCAUCGGGCCUCGCUCGGCAUCGGGACUUGCCCGGUAAGCAUACCAACACACAACACAUGCAAUAAUCACAAAGAUACAUAGCAUAUAAAAUGGUCAUCGGGCCCCGCCCGGUAAGCAUCCAAGCAUAUAACACAUGCAAGAGUCACGGAGACAUUUAGCAUCCUAACAUAACAAAAUUAUGGGCCGACAUUGGUUUCUUCGACUCGCUAAUCAUAGUGAGGAAACUCACCUCGCACUGCUGAAUCCCAUGGAUAAAUCUCUGGCUACUGGCCCGCUAUAAAUCUUAAAAUAACAUCGAAUUAAUAAUUGGAUCCUGACUCACACUAAGAGUCCAAACUAGGGUAAAAUACCUUUUUACCCUUUCCCUAACUUGAACCAAAGCUAAAGCCCAAUCCAAAUGUCCAAAAAGCCGAAAUUCCAAAAUAAUCACCCAAUCUCAAUCAUGGCCGAAUUUUCCAAAUUGGGCCCAAAUCUCUUUCAUAGGAUUUCCACCAAGGAGUCCAAUACAGUAUCAACACCCCAACAAGGCCCAAGACAUCAAAAUCCAAACAUAGCACAAUACCGAGAAGCCCACGAAAUCGAAGCCCACUGCUGAGUAAGCAGGGCGUACUCAUCUCGUACACUUAGCGUACUCCCUUCGGGGCCAGUACGCGCAACGUAUCAGAUUGGUUACGCCCAAUAUACUCCCCGGAUCACCAUCCUACCCCAUUAAGCACUUAAUCAAUUAAACCCUUCCUCCAAACUCUCUGAUCUGAUUCAUAUGGACGACUUAUCACAUAAAGUUUCCAACUUUAUGUGCAUGCAUGGCUUAAUGGAUCUUUAGAGCUUAAUAAAUGACUUAACACAUGCAUAAGACCAAAACCACAAUAAAGUUUACAACUUUAUGAUCAAGAAACCCUUAAUGAUCCGAGAUCUACAAGGAUAAGCUCCAAAAACGUCCUUAUCUCACAAAAUCAACCAAAAAGGGACCAACGUGACCAUAAACAAGCUAACGAGUAAAUUUAUGAAAUGGAAUUACAAGCUUUGACCUUUAUACCUCAAAUGCCACCAAAAAAAGGUGCAAAAUCUAGAUCUCAAGGCUCUCUAUCAAAGAAUGAUUCUUCAAGUUUCUUCUUCUACCAAUUCAAGAUGCAUAACACCCACCAAAAUCUUCACAGUAGCUCAAAAGCACCACACAAAGGCUAAGGAACAAAUUAGGGUUUUCUAGGGGUAUGGAGGCUUAUUAAACAAGGCAAAAAGACGAUAUCCUAUGGUUUAUAUAGGUUACAAUCCCUAAAAUUAGGGUUUGUACAUUGCUCACAUACGCUAAGCGUACUGUACUUACGCCCAACAUACGUGGAAGAGCUCUGCGAUCCAUCUGCAUAUCUACGCCCAACUUACAAGGAGUACGCCCAUCAUACUCCAACAUUCCCGAAGUUGGGAAUUCAGCUCCCUAAGGAACAAUUCAGCAAACAAGACUCCCCCAAAGGGUCUAAACCGAAAUUGACAAUGAACCAAGCGUUACAACUCUCCCUCACUUAAAUUAGAUUCCGUCCUCGAAAUCAUUCCUUACCAACCCAGGAACGUUGGAGAGCCUAAGAACACAACCAUAUCCCCUAGCAUACAAAAACCUUCCCAAAGGAAACCUAACCCAACCCUAGAAGAGCUCUCUAAGAUUCAUAACCAAGGCCUAAGCGUUAAGGAUUUCUUGUAGUGGGCUUCAGUAUUCAAGAUGAGUGUCCUCACUGUUGUAUGGGUCGAAGGCACCAAUGUCGACCCAUUUGGUUUAUGUGUUGAAGUAAGACCCGGGGGAUAGCCCUUGGCAUUAUGUAUGAAAGACCAGGAAGUGGCUCCAGGCAUACUAUAUGCAAGACCAAAGUCUGCACUUUGGUAAGUAGUAUAGUUUGUGUGUUAGUUGUCUUUGUGAUUCUUGCAUGGAAGACCAGGAGGUGGCUCUUGGCACUUGUCUUUAAGACCUAAGGUUGUGGCCCCUAGCCUGGUAAGAAAGACCAUGAGGUGGCUCGUGGCAUAAUGGCAAGACUAUGGUUGGCACAUAGCACUCUCAUUAAUUAUGGUAUAUGAUUGAUAUGUAUGGCUAACGGUUACGUAUGGCAUGUGUUGAUCGUUUGAUAUGUAUGGUAUGUGGUAUUUAGGGAACUCACUAAACUUUGUGCUUACGGUUUUCAGUUUAUGUUUCAUGUACUCUAGUUUUCAGAUGAAAGAGCUUGGUACAAUCGUAACACAUACACCUGUGCUUUUUCUGCAAUAUGUGAUCUUUAGGAUUGAACUCUGAUAACUGUGUUCAUUGAAUUACUUUUUAAUGUUUAGAACAAAGUUACAGUAGUGUUUUGAUUAUAAUAAAAAUGAAAUUUUUACCUUGGAAUUUUGGGCUGCUACAAGUUGGUAUUAGAGCCUUGGUUUAAGGGAUUAAGGCAUACUCUCGGGUGUGCAUGAACUCAAACUGAGGGUUUGGUGAAAUUUUUAUAAAAUAAAUAUUUAACUAAAAAGGAACUUCUAAUCAAAGAAAGGGGUGUGAUGCGUGCAAUCGAUCGAGCUUAAGUAAGUGGUACCCAUGAUACAAUACAUGUUUAUUAUGAUAUAUGAUAUGAUUAUUAGAAUUUCAUGCUAGCUUAGGACUAAGGAUCUGCUCAUUAUUAUAUGAUAGAGAGAUGCAUUUUAUGUGUCUGAUUGUUUAAGCUUUAGUAUUGCAUGCUAGUCUAUAUAUCUUAUAAGUAGAUGGAAUGGCUUGUAUAGAGUAUGUUGGUUAGAUUUUUCUGUUUCCUGAAUGUUGCUUGAUUUGUGCUUUGUGGGUGAUCUUAGCAAUGUGAGUUAGCUACUAAGUGCAUAUGCUAAGUCACAUGUGGCACAGGUUGGAUAAUUUCAGAGUGAUGGACUUGACCCCAUUGCACAACUCUUGUUUGAGUCCAACUGUUAUAGGGUGGAGUCUUUUACUCGAAGGACUGUUUGAUCUCUAUUGCAUGUGGAUAUAUUCAAGAGGAGGCUAAUUGUCCUUAGUGGGGGAUCCUUCAGCAGCUGAGGGCUAGGUGGGGUUGGUAACCUAGGAGAGCCUAGGAUAUUCUUCAGUAGGGGUAAAGAUGUGGUUUAGUGGGUUUUGGUGCUUUGGCUUGAGGAAGUGACUUAGAGGAUUCAGGAGGAUUGCUAAGGAAAGUAUGGAUAAGUGUGGAAGGUAGUAUUGGGAUCGUACUAAUGAAAUCACAAGAUCUAUACCUGAAUCGGUGAGAGUCUUGGAGAAUCUAAGAAGAUGAUGGAAGGAGGAUUCUUGGGUAUAUUUUGAUUGUUGGUUUGUCAUAUUUCAGUUUGGAGAUGAGCUCUCAGGGAGGUGGUUCUGGUUCGGGUUCUGGCUCAGGUGCGGUUGUUAAGUCGAUUAGCAAGCAGUUGUGGGAAUUAAUUUCAUCAGAGAUUUCUCGCUGUGUUUCAGAGAUAUUGGAUGAGCGCUAGGACGCGUUCUGUGCGAAGGUUAUGGAUAUCAUUAGGGCUCGCACUCUUUUUUCCGGGAGUUCCGUGCUUAUGGAGCUCCUGCAUUCCAUGGGGAGGGGGACCCUAUUGUCAGUAGGAAGUGGUUAACGGAUAUCACUAACGCAUUCAGGAUGAGUUUCUUCUCCGAAGAGGCAAAGUUCAUAUUUGCUUCCUGCCUAUUGAGGGAAAGGGGAAGUUGGUAAUGAGUUAGGUGAUGAUGUUGUUGAAGAUAUAUCAUGGGAUGACUUCUCGACUAGGUUCUGAGCUAAGUUUGCACCAACGAUCGAGGUACAAUAGUUGGUGUGAGAGUUUCUGGAUCUCCGCCAGACUACUGAGAUUGUGACAGAGAUUACUGCCAAGUUCCGAGAGAGGGCUUUCUUGGUACCACAAUAUGCAACAGAUGAGGAAAUGAAGAAAGUGAGGUAUCAUGAUAUGCUGCGGGAUGAUAUCAAGGAGUUCGUGAGUAUUUCGGGGUGUGAAAACCUGAAUGAUAUGAUCUCUAGGGCCUGAGAGCGGGAGAUUGAUUUGGAGCACAUAGGGAAGAGGGGGUCAGAUCAGGUGCAGACAUUGGAGGGUCCUGGGAAGAGAACCAAGACUUCUGACAAGUGUGUGGGUGGCCAGUAGGGUCAGAGUCAGUGCAGCUCGUGCGGGCAACAACACGAUGGAGUUUGUCGUUCCAGAGGUUUGGGCUACUACAAGUGGGCAGGUUUGGUCACGUCAGCAGUGAUUGUCCUUCUGGGGCAAGCCCAUUAUGUUUUCACUGCGACCAGGUGGGCCACAAGAAGGCCAAUUGUCAGAUGUUGAGGGGAGGAGCAGUAAGAGCGCAUGCUCCGGCUACUUUGAGGAUCACCAAUAGACGAGAAGGUAGGACAGGAGCCCCAGCAGAGAGGAUUUGAACUUUGCAGUGUCAGAGAAGGGAGCUCAGGACUCCAGUAGGCAAUAUUGUAGGUACAUAUCUUUUUCCCUCUUUCGGAUUAUUUAUAUCAGUCUAUCUGGACCAAAUCCCGGUCCUCAGUCUAUCUGGACCGCUCUCUGAGCCCUCGGCACAUCUAAACAACCCUCCUUUGGGCCUUUAGCCUAUUUGAACCGCUUGCUGGGCCUUCGGCCUAACUAGAUUUGCCAGGCCAACACGGCGAGUUUUCCGCUUACAACUCGUCGUGUUCAUACGUGUCUAAAGGUUGGGAAAACCCUAGCUGACUCGCCGAGUCAUUCAACUGACUCAUCGAGCCCAAGGCAAUCUUCAUCGGACUCCCCGAGUCGUUCAUCUGACUCGCCGAGUCCAUUCAGUCCUUCACCCAUAUAGAGACUUUUUAAGCCAUGCUAAGGCUCCAUAUUUUAGAUCUAGUCCCCCAAGGCAUGUUUAUCAUGUAAAGUUGCAAACUUUAAGUGCAUGCAAGACCAUAAAGUCCUAAAAUGACAAACUAAGCUUGCAAUGGAGGUUUUGCACUUAAGGAGAGUCUCAGCUUUGCAAAAGUUGGAAGCUUUAUGGACUUAAAGACCCAAGAGAGUUCAGAUCUGAAGUUACCACUUCAGAUCUUAGCUUAUACACAAGCAAAGCUUCCAAACAUACAAGGAAAGUCCUAAAAUCCACCCAAAAGAGAUCUAGAAUGAAAUGAGCCAAGGUAACAUCCUAAUACCUUCAAGAGGGUGUCAACUGGAGUAUAUGUUUGCUUCCCAUGAGUUUUCUUGCUCCAGUUUACAUGUUUCCUAAGUGUUUCUCCACUAAGACUCCUCUUCUAAGCUUUAACACACCAAAGAAACACACACACACACAUGUUUUAGGGUUUAAGGGUGCCAAGGAGUUGUAAAUGGGAGGCUGGGGGAGGCCAAUGAUCCUUUAAAUAGGGUGCAAUACCCCGAAAUUUAGGGUUUCAUCUGCCAGCUCCUACUCCUCGAGUCCCUUCUUGGACUCGGCGAGUAGGUCACUAAAACAUGCGGACUAACCCACUACUACUCGACGAGUAGGGCAACCAACUCCUUGAGUAGACCUUGAAAACAAGAAAAUUCUUACAUAAAAUCAAUACUUGAGAAUCGGGGCGUUACAGCGGGUGUGGAGUGUUUUUUGCUAUCUUGGUUGUAGUCGGGAUUAGUUUGGGGGCAUUGUAUGGAUGGUUUAUGGUCAGGACUCAACGGGUUAGUUGUCCAGUGUCACCAGAAUCUAGUGGUUUUAGCCAUUGUGCUUGGAUUGUUUUUGGAGGUGCCGAGGGAAGUUGUUUGUUGCUUUAGUUGGAGCAUCCGUCCUUUGAACUUCAAUAUUUGAGUGAGAUGUUAUUUUUAGCAUCUGAGGUUAUCAAUAAUAUUGGGAUUUGGGAAGUGUUCAGCUAGUCAUCAGAUAAUAUGUGGUCUUUUGAGGUGGCUAGUAAUGGAUCACUAGCAAGGUGGAGAGUUUGUUGUCAGCGGAUCGAUCAUUGGAAAGUAAGAAGGAUUGGGGGAUUCCUUCAAUUCUCAUGUGCUUUGAGAAUUUAGUCGAUUCAAAGUGGGGGGGAAUUGUUCAAGGAUUCAGGAGUAGAAGUGGUUUCGAAACUAGGAUUAGUUUCGCAUCCCGGUCAGGUAGGAAGGCAACCCAAGUGGCUGUUUGGAUUAAGGAUUGUGUGAGUUGGAAGUUUGGGAAACUUACCAACAUUGAGAUCGCGUUCUCUUGGUGCUCGAUAGCAGGAUUUGGGGAACCAGGUUGGGGUUUCAAGCAUGGCUCAAUUUCAGCUUGGGUGUUUGGUCGAGUGUGUGCUCGACUCUCGGUGUAUUCGGUUUGAUAGAUUAGAGGUAAGGCUUUGGGCUGUGAUUAUGGUAAGUGGAAGUGUUGUAAGACUACAUGGUGGCUCGUAGCAUUCACUAGUUAGCAAUUAUUGUUGAAGUAUUGUAAGACUGUUGGGUGGCCCGUAGCAUUCACUAGUGGUCAGUUGGUAUGGGAGUGUUGUAAGACUGCGGGGUGGCCCGUAGCAUUCACUGGUCCUUAUUCAGAAGGUGAGAUUGUAGAAAACAUGUGUUUUGAUCACGGUUUCCUUCGGAUGGUUUAGGCUAGGGUGGGUCACUUCGAAGGCUGUUGGAGGGCCGCAAUAUGUUUGGAAUACUACAUUGGGUCCUCCUGUAGCGUUCAGUUUACCAUCGGGUUAGUGUCGAGAUGGUUGGGUAGUUAUUGAUUGUGAGGCUUUCUGUCAGAAAUCGUGAGGGGCGACUGUGUGGGAGUGUUUUGGCUUAGUACCGGGUUGGAACCCGGUAUUUCAGAUGACUAGCAGAUGGAUUGGGAUCAUGGAGGUCUCUGUGGAUUUUCAGGGUUUCAGGCAGUAUCAAUGUUUUGGGCAGUUUCAGUGUUUUGGGCAUUUCCAAUGUUCGGGCAAUUUUAGUGAUUUGGGUUUCGUGUGUGUGUGGAGUAACUGGUGGAUUGGGAAAUGCUAAGUCACUCGCAGUGGGAUUAAAUAAUCUCAUAUUAAUUGAUUUGACCCUGGUGUGUGGCUCUCGUCUGUGUCUUACCGUUGCAGGAAUGAAUCUUCUACUCAAAGGAUUAUUUGUGCCUUUUGUCAGAUAUAAGUGUUUUGUAGCUGUUUAUGCUCAGUGACUUUGUUUCCCUUUGAAGCAGCAAUGUGAUCGAGGGUUCGACGCAUUUUGUUUAGUAUGAAACUCUAUGAGGAUGGUUUGGUGGCAGCUCGUUGUGGAAGGUCUGAUAGGAGGUUAGACCAUUGAGACCUUAUAUUUCAAAGUUUAGGUGAGAUAGCAUUGGGUUUUGUUCAAGGAAUUGUGGUUUCGUUGUUCAUCGGGCUUAAAGAACUAUUCUAAGGGUAGUUUCAGUAAAUUUGGAUAAGUCGUGGUAUGUUCCAGAUUGAAAGUAUUAUGUUUGGUCAGUUAUUCAUUGAGAGUUGGGCAUGGAGUUGUUUCAGCAUGAACGGUCUGCCCGGGUGUCAGACCAUUAUAGAUUCUAGUCCUAGAAAGGUAGAAGUGUUUGCAAAGGGCUGAAGGGUUGAGUGUUAUUUUCGAGAUAGAAGUUUCGGUUUCGGUUUCGGUUGCCUUCUAAAGAUUAUUUUGUGCGUAGAAUUUUGUUUAUAAUCUUCAGGUUGGUCAUUUUGGUAUGAGCAUUAAUAAAGAGCAAUUUCGAGGACGAAAUCUAAUUUAACUGGGGGAGAGUUGUAACACCCAGAAUCUAGAAGGUUAAUUGUGGAAAUAUUGUCAAUUUCAUGUCGAACUCGGUGAGUUGGAGGAGCCAACUCAGCGAGUUGAAGAUGAUGAAUCAUGUGGAUUAAGGGGUCUAAUCGACGAGUUGAGGAGUCUUAACUCGGCGACUAGAGGUUAUUUUGGUCACGAGAUUUAUGAGCCAACUCGACGAGUUGGGCGCUGUUUAGGAAACCCUAAUUUUGGGGUUUUGCACCUUGUUGAAACACCUUAAGUUCCAGGUGUUGGCCUCAUUUCCAAUCUCCAUAGCUCUUAACCCUAAUCUCAAAAUCCUAGAGCCUCCAAGAGUGUUGUGAGUCCAGUGUGUGUUUGAAGCUCAUUCAAGGAGGAGAAGCUUGGUACAAGGUGGUCGUUCAAGAAGGAGCUCAUAGAUCUUGAUUUUCUUCCCUAUUUCUAGCUCAUUUUGGGUAUAAAGUUCUAUCCUUGCUUAUUAUUGUCUUAGAUCUCUUCUUGGAUUUAUUUGUAUGCUUUUAGCCAUUGUUGGGUGAUUGUUGAGGAAGUAGAAAGGUGCAAACUUUAUGAUCUUUAUCAUCUCUUUUGGCAUAAAGGUGCCAACUUUAUGGUCCUAAGGGCUUCAUGCAUUCAUUAAGUCCUCCUUUUGGUCUCUGUUAAGCUUUUGAGCUUCUUCUAAGCAUGAAUAAGUGUAAAGUUGGAAACUUUCCAUGGCCAUUUAGCCUUAUAUGCUCAGAUCUGCAUCUUGGAGUUGUGUCCUUGUAGAAUAAGUUCUUAAUGUUUAAAUCCUUACCCUUUUAAGUUUAGGGUUUGGGUUUUGAACGCAUUUUGGUAGUUCUUUGGGUAAAGUUGGAAACUUUACCCUUCUUAUGGUCAUUUCAGUUAAGAUCUGAGUGGGAGAAGUUGUUAGUUUUGAAUAUGGCUUAAUAGGUUGAGUUGUUUGUUCCUAGGUGAACUCGACAAGUUGGAUAGCCAACUCGGCGAGUUGUUUUGGUUUUCCCCGAUUUUGAGUUGGUGAAGGUCAACUCGGCGAGUUGAUUAGACAGCUCGGAGAGUUGGAUCGGUUUCUUCCCGACUUUACGGUUUUUAGAGGAACUUGGCGAGUUGAAGGAUAAAACUCGGCGAGUUGGGUCAACUCAGGCCGUUGAUUUUGACUUUUGACUUAUUCCUUUAAUCAAGCUUAUGCCAAGGGGUGUUUGAAGCAAUCUGAAUUGGAAAGUGUGGGAUUAGGAUAAGGUCCGUAUGGGAGUGGGCCUAAUUUGGAAAAUUAGGCCAUUAGUGAGAUUUCAAGGAUUUUGUGGUUUUGCAUCUUGUUGGCUUUAUGGCUUGGGCCUUAGUAAUGAAUCCUAAUGGGGUAGGGGUAACAUUACCAUUUUACCCCAAUUAUUGAUUAUGGAUCAUGGUUUGGAACCCAAUUGCUAAUUGGGUGAUAUUUUGGUAUUGCUAGCUCGAGGGUUUGUAAGGGCAGCAGCUAAGGAUUUCUUGUAGUGUGCUUCAGCAUUCGAGGUGAGUCUCUCCACUGUUGUAUGGGUCGAAGGCACCAAUGCCAGCCCAUUUGGUUUAGGUGUUGAAGUAAGACCCGGGGUUAAGCCCUUGGCAUUAUGUAUGAAAGACCAGGAGGCGACUCUAGGCACACUAUAUGCAAGACCAAAAUUUGAACUCUAGCAAGUAGUUAUAUAAGUAGUAUAGUUUGUGUGCUAGUUGUCUUUGUGAUGCUUGCAUGGAAGACCAGGAGGUAGCUCUUGGCACUUGUCUGUAAGACCCAGGGUUGUGGCCCCUGGGCUGGCAAGAAAGACCAUGAGGUGGCUCGUCGCAUAAUGGCAAGACUAUGGUUGGCACAUAGCACUCUCAUUGAUUAUGGUAUAUGAUUGAUAUGUAUGGCUCACGGUUAUGUAUGUCAUGUAUGGAUCGUUUCAUAUGUAUGGUAUGUGGUAUUUGGGGAAGUCACUAAACUUUGUGCUUACGAUUUUUAGUUUAUGUUUCAUGUAAUCCAGUUUUUAGAUGAAAGAGCUCGGGACGAUCGCAGCAAUAUGUGAUCUUUGGGAUUGAACUCUGAUAAUUGUGUUCAUUGAAAUACUUUUUAAUGUUUAGAACAAAGUUACAGUAGUGUUUUGAUUAUAAUAAAAAUGAAAUUUUUACCUUGGAAUUUUGGGCUGUUAUGUAAACAAAACACUUCCAACCCUUGAUUAUCUAGUUGCUUUACUGGAUAUCGAAUCACUGACCACUCAUUACUGUAGAACACCCAUACUUGACAGAAGGCUUAGAUUAUCCUUUGAGUAAAAGACUCAUCCCUGCAAUGGUUAGAUUCAAACGAGAGCUGCGUCACAGGGUCGAAUCCAUUACUCUGAGAUUAUUUAAUCUAGGCUGCAAGUGACUUAACAUAUUCCCCAAAUCACAAGCAGUUCCACAGACGAGCCCCAAAUCACUGAUACCAUCCCGGGCUCAUCUUGAUGCCCCCUAGCAGCUUUCCAAAAGCAACUGUCCCAACUUACCUGCUAAACAACCGAUUCACUGGAUUUCCAUCUGCUUACUAAGACAUAUAGUCUUACAUAGUUGCACCAUACGCCUUCCGAAUGAAGGCCUCAUAUGAAAAGCAUUUCUCUAGCGAUCUCGUUGUUAUGGCUCCAACAACCUUCCUAACCCAACCAAUCAUAACGAAGCGCCAAGCCUGACGCAACCAAAUCCAAUACUAAUAGUGAAUGCUACAUGACCACCCAUAGACUUAGAUCACAACCGGCCUCAUACGACCCACCACUUCCUUAAUUCCAUGAAUGUUGUGGCCCUCCCACAUUCUUACAAACUGACCUUCCCUGGUCCAAUCCCAUUUGAAGAAAUCUACAAGCCAAAGAAUAUAUUUGACAUGCCCUCACCACUACUCAAGGACCAGUGAAUACUAUGGGCCACCCCACAGUCUUACAACACUCCAACACUAUCUUCUAACCUAGUGAAUGCUACAUGCCACACCGCAGUCUGAAACACUCCCAUCUUGCCAUGGCCACCACCCAUGGUCUUACCGCUCAUCUACUAAUCCAUCCAUACUCAUCCUGAGUUGAACACAACCUGCAAAAGAUCAGAACGUACCCAAGAAUCCUCAUCCCAUAGGCUUCCUAGAUUCUCUAAAACUCUCCCCGAUUCAAGUAUGGAUCUUUUUCUUUCUGUAGUAUGGGCUCAAUACUACCUUCCACACAUGUCCAUACUUUCCUCAAGAAUCAUCUUGAAUCCUCCAAGUCACCUUCUCAAACUAAUACUCCAAGCACUCGCUAAACAGUGCAACAAAACCUACUGAAACAUUUCUGAGGCUUUCCUAGGUUCCCGACCUUACCCUCCCAUGACCUGCUAAAGAACUCCACGAAAUUUUAGUUAGCUACCUUAUGAAUACAAUCACGUGCAACAAAGCUCAUAUAAUCCUUCGAGUAAAAGACCCAUCCCUACAACGGUUAGACUCAAACGAGAGCUGCGCAAUAGGCUCAAAUCCAUCAUUCUAAUAUUAUUCAGCAUUCAUUGCAUGUGACUUAACAUAUUCACUUAAUAGCUAACCCACAUCACUUAAGAGUCCCACAAAGCACAAAGCAAUCAACAUUCGUGCAGUAGCACCCCGAUCCAUAGAAUAACCAAAGAACAUCCAAACUCACAUACUACAACUCAUGCUAGAAACUUCCACUCUCACUGUCGGUUGCCUUAUGCAUGUAGAUUAUACACAAUACAUGAUCAAAUAGACUAUCGAAUAAAAGACUCUACUCUAGGACCACAACUAAAGAAGCUCUAAUACGGAACCCAAACCCGCCGAUGCAGAGUCAACAACCCACAGUUAUCAUAAUCGAAGGAAGCCACCUGACCCACAAUACGCUCAAUCUUCUGGUUCUCUUCCUUCAUAGCCUCGACCUGAGCCUCACGAAUCCGCACCAAUAGUGGAGUAAUCACAGUCAUCCUUAAACAUAUGUCUCUGAUUAUAGUUGUGAACACUUUGCGGCUGAGAGCAUUGGCCUUCCAUGGGUGAUGAAGGAUCUCACAAUCAUAAUCCUUCACCACAUCCAACCACCGGCGCUUCCUCAUAUUUAGAUUCGGCUGAUCCAUCAUAUACCUCAGGCUCUUGUGAUCUGUGUAAAUGGUACAACGAACCCCAUAGAGGUAAUGCCGUCAAAUCUUGAGGGGGAAAACCACAUCCCCCAGCUCCGAGUCAUGUAUCGGAUAAUUCGCCUCAUAAGGCUUCAGCUGCCUCGAAACGUAAAUGAUCAUGCGACCCCUCUGAUUCAAUACUGCUCCUAAAACCGAGAUCGGCACAUUGGAAUAAACCACAAAAUCCUCAACACCCUCCGGCAAGGUAAAAAUUAGUGCCUCGCAUAACCGCUGUCUCAAUGUCUCAAAUCUACCUUCUGCUCAGGCCCCUAGCAAAAAGUAACUGUGUUCUUUAUCAACCGAGUCAAAGGAACAUCUAUCUUAGAGAAAUCCUGGAUGAAUCUCCGAUAGUAACCUGCUAAACCAUGGAAACUCCAAAUCUAAGACAGAUUUCUCGGAACCUACCACUGCAUUAGAGCCUCGACCUUGGUCGGAUAUACUAGAAUUCCAUUCUAGUUGACAAGGUGCCCCAGAAACUACACCUCACCCAACCAAAAUUCACACUUUGAGAACUUUGCGAAAAGUCUCUCCCUCCUUAACGUCUCCAAAACUUCCCUUAAUUGCUCCUCAUGCUGCUCUUGAGUAUUGGAAUAGAACAAGAUAUCAUCGAUAAACACAAUCGCAGACCGGUCCUGCGUCGGCCUGCAUACACGGUUCAUGAGAUCCAUCAAUGCGACUGGAGCAUUGGUGAGCCCAAAAGACAUCACCAUGAACUCGUAAUGACCAUAACGAGUUCGGAAGGCUAUCAUCUACAAAUCCUCAUCUCUAACACUCAUCUGAUGGUAACUCGAUCGUAAAUCAAUCUUGGAGAACCAAGAUGCACCCUAAAGCUAGUCAAAAAGAUCAUCAAUCCUUGGGAGUGAGUAUCGUUCUUCACCGUUACCUUAUGCAACUCAUGGUAGUCAAUACACAUACGAUGAGACUCAUCCUUCUUCUUCACAAAGAAGAUUGGUGGUGCCCAAGGCGAACUGCUUGGUCGAAAGAAUCCCUCGUCUAACAACCCCUGCAACUGUGUAGACAAAUCUUGCAUCUCAGGAGGAGCCAACCGAUACGGUGCUCUAGAUACUUGAGCCACACCAGGAACCAGAUCAAUCCUGAACUCAACCUUACUUAUGGAGGUACCCCAGGCGAAUCCUUCGGAAACACAUCUGGGUAAUGCCUCACAAUAGGAACAUCAUUCACGAUCGCCUUACCCUUAUCCCGGGUAUCCAAAACAAAGACAACAAAUCUAGAACAACCCUAGUGAAUAUAGCAUCUGGCCCUCGCUAUUGAACACAAAAUCAGCCAACGCUAAGCUCUCUCUCUCUCUCUCUCUCUCUCUCUCUCUCUCUCCAUUAACCACUAAAUCUCCCAUACUUGGGGUUCGAACCCAAACUAACUGCUACUCACAACUGAUCACCACCCCAUUAGGACUCAACCAAUCCAUACCCAUAAUAACCUUGUUCACAUGCAUAGGGAAGGGAACCAAAUCGACGAAACAUUGAUCACUGAAUAACUGAAGAGUACAACCUUGAUGAACCCUCGCAACCCAAACAAAUCUAUCAUCUACAAUCUCGACAUCUAGAGGAAAAUCCGGCUCCCCGAAGUUCUAAAAAACCUCUUGCUAAGCGCAAGUGAUACAAAGGAUCAGGUAGCCCCCGAAUAAAACUAUACCAACGCAGAAAUACCAUUUACGAGGAACGAUACUAAAAUGAAACACAUAAAUAUAAGCAAUCAAUUCAAUAUAAAUAAACAUAUAAGGUGAAGAUACAUACCCGUCACCACGUCGAGAGUUGCACAAGCCUCUUCAGCUGUCAGCUAAAAAGACCUGAUCUUCACCAUAGGUGCAUCCUCCCAGCCCUGGCGGCCAUCAGUAAUCCGAAGAGUUUCAGGAUCGGGUGUUAACACUGUUCCCGCUAAAGCUAAAUUCGGACAAUGGGCCUUCUUGUGGCCCCUCUUAUUGCAAUGAAAGCCAAUCAGAUCAUAUAUCGGGGUGGUGGUGGUAGCACCAUUGCAAUCGCUGCUAAUAUGACCAGUCCGGCCACACUUGAAGCAACCAGAACCACCCACCCUGCACGCCCCAUUGUGCAUCCUACUGCACUUGCCACAACGGUCCCGACCAAACUGGUCCUUCCCUCUCGCAUCAACAACCUUUGGGCCUUUUUCCCGAACCCCCCGAUACCUGAGCCUCAUCGGACUUCCUCUUCCUAUCCAUAUUGAGAUCAAUCUCCCUCUCCCUAGCCCUCACUAUCAUAUCCUCCAGCGUCUUGCAGCUGGAUCGGCUCAAAAACUGCCUAAUAUCAGUCCUCAACAUCUCAUAAUACCUAUCCUUCUUCAUCGCCUCAUCUGCCACAUACUGCGGAACCAAAAGUGCCCUCUCCUGAAACAUCACGGUGAUCUCAGCCACCAUCUCAGUAGUUUGGCGGUGAUCCAGAAACCCUUGUGCCAACUGAUGCACCUCAAUCACCUGUGCAAACUCAGUUCUGAACCUGGUCACGAAAUCAUCCCAUGACAUUGUAUCAAUAGCUUGGUCACCAACUAUAUGUCCCACCUCCUACCACAAAUCUUGUGCCAUGUCUUUCAGAAGAUAGGAAGCAAGUGUGACAUUUGCCCACUCGGGGAAACUGUUGGUGUGGAAGGCGUUAGCAGCAUCCACUAACCACCUCUUACUCGAUAUCAGGUCCUUCACCCCAUAAUAGUCUGGAGUUCCACAUGAUCGGAACUCCCUGAAGUUCAAUGAACGUGCCCCAACCAAGGCCACAAUCUUAGAAUGAAAAGAGCUCAAACGCUCAUCCAGAAUCUCCAGAAUACCCUCCAUGACUGUGCUAAGGAUCACAGGAGUCUGUUCAAGAAUACAACAUGGAAUUGUUGGAUUUAAUGUCUCAUCCCAUAACUAUAAUUGGUAUGUACUUGACUCGAGAUUAGUAUGGUCCAUUUGGGUUGCAUGGCACCGAAAUAAUUUGUAAGGAUGGACGUAUGAGGAGAGGAUAUGUAUGAUUUGUUAAUGUAAUAUAAGUUCUAAUAUAUUAAUGUGAAAUAAUAUUAUUUAAUUAGUAUUUAUCAAGAAUUAAUUUGGAAUUAAUUUUGUGAUCAGAAGAGACUAAUUAAAUAUAAGGGGUUGAUUUGGUAAAUCAUUCAUUCUUAUAAAGUGGGCUUAUGAUCCAUAGUUCUUUAUGUUGGGCUAAACCCAUGUGGUGACCCAUGGAUAAUCCAUGUAUGUUUAACCCAUGGAGCAUGAGGGAUAUGGAAGGUCAUUAGGGUUUACAUGGUGUAACCCUAGUUUGCCACAUUAUAUAAGAGACCAAGGCUACCAAAAUUGGCACCUAAAUGAACUUAGAAGAGUGUUAGCUGAUUUUGUGAAGCAAAGAAUUCUCUCUCAAAUCUUCCAUUGUUGGUGGUGUUGUGUGAAGCAUUUGAGGCAUCACACUUGGGGUGCUAGGCUCUUAAAGGCUUAUGGUUUCAAGCUACAACAAAAGGUAUGUCAUUCAACUAGACUUUUGUAGUGUAUAUACUACAUAGUAUGCUAGUUAGGAUGAUGCCUUGUAAAAUUGAAAGUUUGCAUGUAUAAUAGAGAAAACAUAGAUCCAAGGUAUCUAGGGUUGCAUGUACACCUUAGGAGUGUUAGAAUGCUCAUAACCCUUCAGUGGUAUCAGAGCCUAGCCUUGUUUUCCAUUAUACUUGAUGCUACUUGUUUUCAAAGCUUGAAAGAUCGAUUGUAUGCUGUCUGGAGAGUGAACUCGCCGAGUCUACUGGGGAACUCGACGAGUCCAUCCUAUAAACUGACCAACUCGCCGAAUCAGUUCAUGCACUCGACGAGUUGGUGUUCCAUAAUGCAUAUUUUCAAGAUUUUAAGCUGGAAUUGAAUUAGGAUCAUUACCCUAAACUGUUUUUAAACUUAUAAACCUGUUUUUGAUUUUGUAAUGAUCAUGCUUAUCCAAUUCAAAAGAUAAUUGUCAAAGUUUCAUGUUUUGUAUUAGUUUAUAAGAUUAGGCUAAUUACAUGAAAUUUUUUUGAUAUGAAAUGUCUUGUUCAUAUGAGUUUAAUCUAUAUCAUGGACAUUACUUGACAUGCUUGUUAGUUUAAUUGAUGAUCUUAAUGGCCUUUGAUGUGCUCCAUAACUUGUCCUCAGGUUAUGGAAAAUGAAAAGUCACUUCUUUAAAAGGCCUAAAAACUCAUAGGUUAUGGACUUGAAAGUUUUGACAAGUUUCAAAACUUGCCCUCAAGUUUUGGAAUUUGUAAAGUCACUUUAGAAUACUUUAAUUCCAAACCCUAGAAUUUUAAAAGUUUAAAAUNAGUUAAAAUUCAACCCUUAUACUUUAAAGUAUUAUAAGUUAAUAAUAUAUAUAUAUAUAUAUAUAUGUGUGUGUGUGUGUGUGUGUGUAUAAGAUCAAGUCAGUCUUACCCUUAGUAGACCUCAUUCACGAAGCCGGUCUAUAAGGGAGCAUAAGGUUACUACCUAUAAAAUGGCAGUUUAAUGGGUGUCCACUCUCAUCCACCACUUCCUUGACUGGUGGAGGGUUGUUAGCCGAAUGGGUAGGAUAGGACUAUAAUUUUCAUUAAGUAUAAUGAUAACAAGGUAACUAAAUGAUUUAUUAAAUUCCCAAUCUUAGUUACUUUAGUAAAAUGUGAACUUGAUGUUAAUCCAUGAAAAUUGCACUUUGCACCUUACCAAAUCGUUGAUGGAGCGUGUGUGGUUAACCGGCACAUUAAUUUGGAUUAGUAAGGGUGGCAAAGGGUGGCUCGAUGUUUGUCAUAAGAUCAAUGGAGUGUGUGUGGUUAACCGGCACAUUGAUUGGUUGACAAAGUCGAGAGUACCAAGAACAUUUUGCAUGGUUAUUCACACCUUGUUUGUGAUCCUCUGUAUCCUAGUCACAAACCUGAAGGGUAUAAGCGAGAUUUAAACAUGCCAUUGAAUUGUUCAAUGAACGUCAAAGGAUCUAGGAGUUUCAAUCCAAUUAAACUUAAUAAGAAUUUCGUUUUUUCAUGGUGGAAAUUGGUAAAUCGUCAUUUACCUACCUUCAAAUAUUUUUGCAAGUUAGAUUACGACAUCCCUCUUCCAAUUUGUAAAAUAUUGUGUUGGGUCCUAGCCUUAAUAUUUCAUUUGGGUGCUAUAUUAAGGAGUCUUUAUCUAAUCUAAACUUGUCUUUCUUUCCUUUUCAGAUGUCUUCCAACACUGCUUCUGGCUCAAACCCAAUUGGCUCUUUCUCUCUCAUGAACCUUUGUAGGAGAGCCAUCUUUGAUGAUUCCAACUUCAAUGAUUAGAUUAGGAACAUUAGGAUGGUCACUCACUAUGAGGGCAAGGAAUAUGUCCUCGACUAGGAGCUAAAGGAAAUUGAUGAGUCUUCUACUACUCCUAAGGAGAUUGCUGAGUUUAGGGCACAUGAGAGGGAUGUCACCAAGGUAGCUUGUAUCAUGUUGGCCACUAUGUCAGCUUAACUCCAAAAGUCCUAUGAGGACUUCUACCAUUUUAAGAUGCACCAGGACCUGAUGGAAAGAUACCAUCAGAGUGCUCAUCAAGAGAGGUAUGAAAUCAUCUCUUCCACGAUAACAACCAGGAUGAAGGAUGGUGAACCCAUCACGGGCUACUUGCAGAAAAUGCAAAGGUGUAUGGACCAAUUGAUAAAGUUGAAUGUGAACUUCCUUGAAGAGCUGGCUAUAGAUAUCAUUCUACACUCCUUACCUCCAUGUUAUGAUCAGUUACGAAUGACCUAUCAUAUGAACAAGGAUGAGGUCACACUUAGCACACUUCAAGGGCUUUUCAGGAUUGCUGAAAGUGGUCUCAAAGGAAAUUUGGUUGUUACUACUCCUACCACCGCCCCUGUUCUGGAAAUUGGACAAGGGAAAGUCUCUUGAUGGAUCCUCUUCAAGUGGGACCAAGGUUGGUUCUGCUGCUCCCUCUUCUAUUCCUAAGGAAGCAGAGUGUUUCUACUGUCACGAAAAAGGGAACUGGAAGUGAAGCUGUCCCAACUACUUGCAGGAUGUUAAAGAUGGGAAGGUUAAGGCCACCCAUCCAGGUAUUUAUACUAUUCUAUCUUAAAACUUAUCACAUUCUAACUCUUGGGUUCUUGACAUAGUUUGUGGAUUUCACAUUUGUUCUGAUGUCCAAGGCCUAAAAAGAAGUAAGGAUGUGGAGCACGGGAAGAUAAACUUGAUCAUGGGGAAUAGGAAGGUUUCACCUGUCACCAAGAUUGGAGUUUACUCUUUAUUUCUUAGUAGUGGGUUAGAAAUAGAUUUGAAUAAUUGUUGCUACUUGUCAGAUAUGGCGAUAAAUAUUAUUUCCUUUCAUGAUUUGUAGAAACAAUGUAACAUCCGGAUUUUCAGGGUUAUUAUUAUGUAGUUUAAUCUUUUGAUUAGAGGAGAGACUCGAUGAGUUGAAGAUCCAACUCACCGAGUCGAGUCGGGCUUCUCACACGGAUUUAAGGAGUGGACUCGACGAGUCAGAGGAGGGACUCGCCGAGUAGGUGUUGGGCAGAGAAACCCUAAUU